rnacentral:lncRNA from 1 species
AUGGAACAAAGAAUGAUGUCUCAGCUUCUGCUGCUGGUUCCUCUGCUGGUUCUGCCGGCACGCGCGGAGAGGGAGGUCUUCGCUCACUUCAUCCUCGGCAACACAGCUCCCUACAGUCGCGAUGACUUCCAUGCGGACAUCAAGGCGGCCUCGGACGCCGGGAUCGACGGCUUCGCCUUAAACAUCGGCGGCGACUCUUUCACCUCCGCCUCGCUGGACGCCCUCUUCGCCGCCGCGGAGUCCUUCAACCGCGCCACCGGCCGCUCCUUCCGCAGCUUCAUCUCCUUCGACUACGCCGCCUACCCCUUCACCAUCGACGACUGCGUCACGCGCCUCCUCCGCCACACCCCCUCGCCCGCCUACUUCCACCACAACGGUCGUCCCGUCGCUUCCACCUUCCUCGGCACCAAGGCCCACCACGACUGGAACGAGAUCAAGCGGCGGACCAACGCCUACUUCAUCCCCACCUACAGCGAUGUCUGGGUCGGCGAGAGCGCCCGUUACCCUCCCGUCGACGGACUCUUAUCAUGGGACGCCUGGCCGUACCACGCCAACGUCACACCCGCCACCGACCAACACUACGUCGAACAGCUCAAAUCCGCCGGGAAGCAGUACAUGAUGCCCGUCUCGCCCUGGUUCUACACCGCUUGCUGCGGCAAGAACUGGCUCUAUAACUCGGACCAACUCUGGCCUGCGCGGUGGCAGCAGGUCUUUCAACUCCGUCCGGACUUCGUCCAGCUCCUGACGUGGAAUGACUACGGCGAGUCGCACUACCUCGGUCCACAAACAACCCACGCAUCUUCCUACCCGCAAGGCUCAAAGGGUUUCAACGAGGGCAUGGUGCACAGCGCGUGGCUAUCCGACCUCCCUUACUACAUCCAGAAGUACAAGUCUGGGAGUGAGCCCGUGGCGGGUGCUUACAACGAGCACUUGACUUUCUGGUACCGCAGGAACCCGAAGCACGCUUGCGGAACGGGCGGCACCGUUUGCAACUCAAAGGCUAACGGCCAGCAAACGUUCCCACCGACGGACUGCGCGGCGGACCAGGUCAACUUCUCCGUGUUCACGGCGGAGACGGCGGUUGUGACGGUGCAGAUCGGUGAUGGGCGACCGCGGACGGUCACCUCUCCGACGAGGGGGUUGUUCAGUGGAAGUGUGCCGUUCGACGGUCAAACUGGGGCUGUUAAAAUCUGGGCUCAAGUCGGUCCACGGACGAUUCGGACCAUCACUGGACCCGGAAUCACGAAUGACUGUGGGGGCCUCGGGCAUGUAAACUGGAAUCCAUGGGUUGGCGGUGGUGUGCCUAGUUGA